AGUCCUGGUUCCUUGGGACCUGCUGAAGCAGUGCCAGGAGUGCCCCCCCGACUGCCGACCCACCCCGCACUGACAAGCAGAAAGCUCUUUAUGCUGAGUAUUGAUCUAGUGGAUGCCCCAACCCAGAGUGGAAGAGCAUCUUUAAUUUCUGACUCCCUCGGGGACAUUUGAUUCAAGAAGGAUUUUCAUAGUGUGCCGAGACUCGGUAAGUGGCUGCUAUUCAGUAAGUGCUGGUUGCAGUUCUGAAUCUGAAUGCGUGCUGAGGCCUCGC
rnacentral:lncRNA from 1 species